GACGAACGCUGGCGGCGUGCUUAACACAUGCAAGUCGAACGGUAAGGCCCUUCGGGGUACACGAGUGGCGAACGGGUGAGUACCACGUGGGUGAUCUGCCCUGCACUUCGGGAUCAGCCUGGGAAACUGGGCCUAAUUCCGGAUAGAACCACUGCCCGCCUGGGUGGUGGUGGAAAGCAUUUGCGGUGUGGGAUCGGCCAGCGGCCUAUCAGCUUGUUGGUGGGGUGAUGGCCGAGCGAAGCGACGACGGGUAGCCGGCCGGAGAGGGUGACCGGCCACACUGGGACUGAGAUACGGCCCAGACUCAUACGGGAGGCAGCAGUGGGGAAUAAUGCACAAUGGGCGCAAGCCUGAUGCAGCGACGCCGCGUGAGGGAUGACGGCCUUCGGGUUGUAAACCUCUUUCAGCACCGACGAAGCGCAAGUGACGGGAGGUGCAGAAGAAGGACCGGCCAACUACGUGCCAGCCGCCGCCGUAA
rnacentral:rRNA from 1 species